UACGGAAGGCAGCAGUGGGGAAUAUUGCACAAUGGGCGCAAGCCUGAUGCAGCCAUGCCGCGUGUAUGAAGAAGGCCUUCGGGUUGUAAAGUACUUUCAGUCGUGAGGAAGGUGUUAAGGUUAAUAACCUUAGCAAUUGACGUUAGCGACAGAAGAAGCACCGGCUAACUCCGUGCCAGCAGCCGCGGUAAUACGGAGGGUGCGAGCGUUAAUCGGAAUUACUGGGCGUAAAGGGCACGCAGGCGGUUAAUUAAGUUGGAUGUGAAAUCCCCGGGCUUAACCUGGGAAUGGCAUUCAAGACUGGUUAGCUAGAGUCUUGUAGAGGGGGUAGAAUUCCAUGUGUAGCGGUGAAAUGCGUAGAGAUGUGGAGGAAUACCGGUGGGCGAAGGCGGCCCCUGGGACAAAGGACUGACGCUCAUGUGCGAAAGCGUGGGGAGCGAAAC
rnacentral:rRNA from 1 species